rnacentral:rRNA from 1 species
AUGAACGCUGGCGGCGUGCCUAAUACCUGCCAGUCGAGCGAACGGACGAGAAGCUUGCUUCUCUGAUGUUAGCGGCGGACGGGUGAGUAACACGUGGAUAACCUACCUAUAAGACUGGGAUAACUUCGGGAAACCGGAGCUAAUACCGGAUGAUAUUUUGAACCGCAUGGUUCAAAAGUGAAAGACGGUCUUGCUGUCACUUAUAGAUGGAUCCGCGCUGCAUUAGCUAGUUGGUAAGGUAAUGGCUUACCAAGGCAACGAUGCAUAGCCGACCUGAGAGGGUGAUCGGCCACACUGGAACUGAGACACGGUCCAGACUCCUACGGGAGGCAGCAGUAGGGAAUCUUCCGCAAUGGGCGAAAGCCUGACGGAGCAACGCCGCGUGAGUGAUGAAGGUCUUCGGAUCGUAAAACUCUGUUAUUAGGGAAGAACAUAUGUGUAAGUAACUGUGCACAUCUUGACGGUACCUAAUCAGAAAGCCACGGCUAACUACGUG